rnacentral:antisense_RNA from 1 species
CAAGCUAAGAACUGAAAAGUUCUGAUUGACAGAGGUUGAAAGACCUGGAGCACUUAAGUCUUCUAUUAUUCACCAAUCUUUUCUCCUUCAGCAGGUGGCUCCAAUGUUUAAAACCUAGGGGUUGAACCAGGGGUUGUGAACCUUAAAUAGAGUGUUAUGAGCUACUGACUCUUAAACUUUGAGCUUCAGAGGAAGUUAACAGCAAAUCUGAUGACUCAUUUGCAUUCUCACAUGCUUGAAGGUGGCUGAAGAUGAAAAUAGCCGAACUAGCAGCAAUUAUUUUAAAAACCGCAAGGAUUAUUCGCCGUUGAAAAUAAAAUCUUGUGCUCCAUUCAAGUACAGGCACAUCUUCUAAGGAACACCACCACACAAAGAAUGCGGAUUGUUUUUCCAAUGUUUUUAGAGAUGAUACUGCACUGAGAAAUGCCACAUACUGAGAGCUCUGUUAUCAUACCCAUUUUAUGGAUGACGAAGAACACUUGGAGAAGAUAAGAAAAUGGCCACAGUUACAAUGAGAUUAAAACAGCUCAAUCUUAAAAUCAAGUCUCUCACUCCAAAUGGAGAUUUUUCUGCUACAUUAUUACCAAAAUAAUUUUGUUUCUCUUUUCCUCAAGGAAGCACACAUUUGCUGUGAGCAUUAUAUAUUACUUAUUAAAAUUUAGUGAUUUUAGAAUCGUAAGAACUUUAGUAGAAUAUAGUUGAAAAAUCUGCAUACCUUGUAUAGAUCUAAAUAAAAGGAUACUAGAAAAUACAAGCUAUAUAAAGGGAUUACUUAAUUAUUCCUAUUUUAUCCUAUGUGAAAUUAGAAAAGAAGAAA